UACGUAGGGUGCAAGCGUUGUCCGGAAUUAUUGGGCGUAAAGAGCUCGUAGGCGGUUUGUCGCGUCUGCUGUGAAAACUCGGGGCUUAACCCCGGGCCUGCAGUGGGUACGGGCAGACUAGAGUGCGGUAGGGGAGACUGGAAUUCCUGGUGUAGCGGUGAAAUGCGCAGAUAUCAGGAGGAACACCGGUGGCGAAGGCGGGUCUCUGGGCCGUAACUGACGCUGAGGAGCGAAAGCGUGGGGAGCGAACCGG
rnacentral:rRNA from 1 species